GAAUCCAUUACUUAUUAGCUUCUUUAUUGAAAAUUACUAAUUUACAUGUUACUUGUAACAAUGAGUAUCGAUUAAAUUUAUCUAUUAUAAAUAUUGCCAUUAAAUUCAAACCCCUAAACACAGGAUGCUUCAGCAUUUCAUUACGCGAGCCCCAAAUUGUAAAUCAACCGUAACGUCAGUAAUCAUCUAAAAAUCUUUGGAAUCUGACCAUGCUCUGAUUCAUGUUUUGAGUGUAGCAUAUAGGUUUCUCAAAUAUUGACCCAAUGAUCAAAUCAUAUUGAAUUAACCCUUGGGACACUCAGAAGUUCCAAACAACGAGAAAGUCACCAGGUUUUCGACAUCCAUGUGUUUCAACAUCAUUCAGCAUGAAUACAUACAUUAUAGAGUAUAUUUAAUUAGGUAUUCAUCAUGAGCACUCUAAUUUUAAACAUGAUAUACCAACAGAACGGUCAUACUCUUAUGCAGUUCAAACAUCAUAUCAUGAACCAAAGCUGAAAUUGAGAUAUACAACCUAAAAUUUUACCAGAUCAACACAUAUUGAUUAAAGAUAAAUAUGAUACACAGUUGUGAGUAUUUACCUAGUGUGCAGCUAAUGAUAGGAACAAAAGCAGUUUCAUGGAAAGGAAUGGAGCUCUACUUUAUAAAUAUAACAGCAUCAAUUAAUGCUUAAACCUCAGAUUCAGCACUCAAAUGCCCGAAAAUCAAUACUUUCAGUGUUUGAAAAAAUCCAAAAGAAGAAAAAGCCUUAAACCAGCGAUGAUUAACAGAUCUUGCUCUCCCUCAAGACAUGUUUUUCAUUCCUGAGAUCUAUAUCUUGAAAUAGAUGUCUGUUGUUUCAACCUUCUUUUUUUCUCUUUAGCUAAUUUUAUAAUUUAGUGUUGUUUCUUAGCUACAAGAACUCUAAAUUUUUAGCUGAAUACUGAUGGUAGGUUGUUCAACCUUUACCCCUAAUGAAAGGAAAUGUGGCUAUUUAUAAGAAGGCAUUAGGGUUUCCUACUUUGGUGCUCAAUUUUCUCUUCUACCCUUCUCCUUAUCGGAUCACAUAUUUUCAGACAAUGAAAUUAUACCAACCUUCACUUUCUAGCAACUUCCUCAAGAUUCUCUAUAUUGAAAUCCCUCAAAUUCCCCUUUAAUCCUUCUAACUUAUCCAUUUUCAGCUCAUUUGGUACUCUUCUUGAAGUUUCUCACUGACUUUUCCUUAGUUCUUUUCCCUUUUAUACCCUUAAUAAAUCUCUUAAUUUACCACCCCCAAUUCAAUCCCUUAUCCACAAUGAGCGGAUAGGUGAGGAUCUACGUAGGUCAUAAAACUUGGGCCAUGCCAAUAGCCCACAAUAGGCCUAUACCCUUCCAACCAAAAAGCACCCAAACCAACUCUCCAAUCUGGUAGACCCAAAUUAAUAUACAAACAAUUAAUAUACUAACUUAAUAAAUUGGAAGAGCAAUGGGAAAUUUAUGAAAGAAAAGGAAAAAAUAGAAUUAGAACACUAAUUAAUCAUGUAACUAAUCAUGAAUGCAAUUAAUCAACAAAACCGAAUCGAAAAGACUAUAUGAAAGGAAGACAUGCCAUUCGACGCGACUAAACAGACCAAAAACCACUUGCUCAAAUUAAACAUGAAUUAUCAAACGUGAAACUAAUUCUAUUAAGAUGAUCAUGCGGAGACCACAAAAGAAAAAUGAAUGAAAAAGAGAAAGAAGAAGACAAACAUAAAGGUGAAGAGAUAUACCUCUCACUACUCAAAACUGACCGGAGAAAUCAAGUUUCGGCCGGCUGGGGUCAUUGUUACAUGAUCACUGGUUUGGACUUUGCAGUCUAGCCAGUGAUAUAUGCAACAACGUCCGAUGGCCAAAAGAGUAAAAGAAGAAGAUUUUAAAGAGACAUGGCUGGUCAACGACCAAUUGACCAUCACCGGCCACUAUGAAACGACCCAAUCCCAACACUGAUAAAAAUAUCUCGGUGAAAUCACUAAAGUUUUAUAGGUUUUGUGAUUGUCGGAGCUUUAGUGAGGGGUGAAAUUGGAAAAAGGCAGAGGGGUAAGGGUUUUGCAUUCUCAGAUCUUCUAAUCGAAAUAAUUGGGAUGUUCUUUGAGGAAACUAUGGGUGAAUUGGACCUGAGACGAGGACAAAGAUUAUGGGGUUUUAACUGGGGGCUGUUUGGAGAUUUUCACUGGCGAAAAAAGGCGCUGCCUCCGGUGGAAGUGAGGCGAAGGGCGGCAAAAACGAUUUCUGGCCGCCCUAAUUUCUAAAUUGAGGUGGAGAGAUUUGGGGAUAGG
rnacentral:lncRNA from 1 species